UACGUAGGUGGCAAGCGUUGUCCGGAUUUACUGGGCGUAAAGAGCGCGCAGGCGGUCGGAUAAGUCGAAUGUGAAAGCCCCCGGCUCAACUGGGGAGGGUCAUUCGAUACUGUUCGACUCGAAGGCAGGAGAGGGAAGUGGAAUUCCCGGUGUAGUGGUGAAAUGCGCAGAUAUCGGGAGGAACACCUAUGGCGAAGGCAGCUCGCUGGGACGUUACUGACGCUGAGACGCGAAAGCGUGGGGAGCAAACAGG
rnacentral:rRNA from 1 species